CCUACGGGAGGCAGCAGUAGGGAAUCUUCCGCAAUGGACGAAAGUCUGACGGAGCAACGCCGCGUGAACGAUGAAGGCCUUCGGGUCGUAAAGUUCUGUUGUUAGGGAAGAACAAGUGCUAGUUGAAUAAGCUGGCACCUUGACGGUACCUAACCAGAAAGCCACGGCUAACUACGUGCCAGCAGCCGCGGUAAUACGUAGGUGGCAAGCGUUGUCCGGAAUUAUUGGGCGUAAAGCGCGCGCAGGCGGUUUCUUAAGUCUGAUGUGAAAGCCCCCGGCUCAACCGGGGAGGGUCAUUGGAAACUGGGAAACUUGAGUGCAGAAGAGGAAAGUGGAAUUCCAAGUGUAGCGGUGAAAUGCGUAGAGAUUUGGAGGAACACCAGUGGCGAAGGCGACUUUCUGGUCUGUAACUGACGCUGAGGCGCGAAAGCGUGGGGAGCAAACAGGAUUAGAUACCCUGGUAGUCCACGCUGUAAACCGAUGAGUGCUAAGUGUUAAGAGGGUUUUCCGCCCUUUAGUGNUGUAGUAACGUACAUAGCACNCGCCGUGGNGUACGGUCGCGAGACGNGAACACAANAGAUAGAGCGNGAGAGNGCGACGACGACGACGAGGGAGAGG
rnacentral:rRNA from 1 species